GCCGCCGCCGCCUGCGGAGCGGAGCAGGACCCGGGCCCCGUCGCGUCUGGCAGCCACCUGCCAGCACACAGACGGCUCAGGCCCCACCUUUUUUAUUUUUCAUCUUCGGCAACGCCAAGCCCUUUCCAGAUUCAUGCAGGCAAAACCCAAUCGUCCGGCUCCAAAUUGAGACCGAGCAGAGCUCUAGCACUGGAUCACUCGCCGAUUCAAGGGCUGCCGCAGGCCCUUGCGGGGCUUCGAGAGAGGAUGAGAGAAGAAUGUGCAAUAUGAUGCUAUUCUUAGCCAAAGUCUAGAAUGUCUAAUCCAACCUCCGAGUUAACUCAGUAUAAACGGCUGCUUAAGGUGCAGGAAGAACUGCAAGAGGAAGGUUAUUUUCUACAUAACCUAAAUACUCCAGACACCACCUAGAACUGCAUGAAGCCUCAGCAGAUGUCUCGCUGCAAUGUUCCAAAGCUAAGCAAUCCCAGCUGUUCAGGAAAUACCAUUGUAAUGAACACAUUAUUGAACAUGGAAGAAUCAAUCGGGACUCCUGUCAAAGGUUUCACAUGCAGCAAACAGCCCAGAAAUCAAAUUGGUGCUUUAGAAAAGUUCUAUCUUAUGAAGUAAAAGACAUCUCUGCCAUUUUAUGACUUCAUCACCUCCAGCACAAAACAGAAUAUAACUUAAAGGUCAUCGAGCUGAUUUUAAAUGACAAGACACAGUAAAUUGACUAUAUAACUUUAUAUACGCAAAACAGCACACUGCUCCUGGUUCUGAGAAAUUAUGAAAUCCAAGUCAAGUUUUUAUUUUCAACUACAGUGGACUAUCCAUUUCAUUCUACUAAGUUUAUAAGAUAAUGAUGUCUCAGACAGGUUAGACUAUCUCACCCCACUUGCUUUUUGGUUGUUUAGGGGUUUCCUUAUUACUUUGUUUGGCUGACAUUGCUUAAAACAAUUUUCAAAUGUCCAAGUGAAGUGCCUACCACUAUGGUAAUUAAUUAUGGUUAUAGUCAACGGUUUCCUCUGGGCAGGCAUAUUUAGUAUUUUAAUUACUAGUGCAAAAAAAGCCUGUCCAGAAGGCUGGCAGGUUUGUGCUCAUGCUGUACUGUAACAAUUUUACCUUCCUUCCUUGACAUAAACAUUUCCACUGCUGAAUGCCCAUUUCCAGUGUAUCAGUUCUUCCUUGAAAAAGCUCAGAUUUAAAGUUAAUGUUUAGUUCUUUUUCCAUGAAAUUCAUUCCAAAAUCUAGAGGCAAGCUUGCAAUUCAAGGCUCAAAAAUAAAUGGGAUUUCAGAAGUUUAAGAAGAAAAAUUUAAACAAUACUUAACUUGUAUACAAUGGUUAUAUAGUUUUUUCCACUGUUAAAAUGAAUAACAUAGAUGCUCGGCUCCCAUGUCUUUUACAGUCCUCCCAGUUGAAUGCAUUGCAUCAUUCCUUGCAAAUAGGCUAGAACUAGCACACCCUUUGCAAUUAUGUAGAGUUUUCCAGUCUUUGUUCAAUGCCAGAAGUACCGUGCAACUGGAUAUCGCAGUGAUAAACCUGCGUAGCAAGGGAAGGGUGCUGUUUUAUUUCACCACCCUCUUUUUUCUGACUUCCACUGCAAGUACAGAUUAGGAAAAAAUAAACCUACCUAAAAAUACACAAGGAUCUAAAAAACAAAAACAAAAAAC